AACGAACGCUGGCGGCAUGCCUAACACAUGCAAGUCGAACGAGACCUUCGGGUCUUGGGGCGCACGGGUGCGUAACGCGUGGGAACCUUCACUUAUGUUCGGACUAACUCCCCGAAAGGGGUGCUAAUACCGGAUCAUGUCUUCGGCCCAAUGAUUUAUCGCCUUUGGAUGGGCCCGCGUUGGAUUCGCUCGUUGGUAGGGUAAUAGCCUACCAAGGCGUCGAUCCAUAGCUGGUCUGAGAGGAUGAUCAGCGACACUGGGACUGAGACACGGCCCAGACUCCUACGGGAGGCGGCAGUGGGGAAUAGUGGACAAUGGGCGAAAGCAUGAUCCAGCAAGGACGCGUGAGUGAUGAAGGCAGUAGGGUUGUAAAGCGCUUUUACCCGGGAUGAUAAUGACAGUACCGGGAGAAUAAGCUCCGGCUAACUCCGUG
rnacentral:rRNA from 1 species